rnacentral:sRNA from 1 species
GUUCAGUUCUCGUUUUGGUCUUAACGGAGCCACAUCUCCUUAAUAAUAUCGAAUAAAAAUUUUCAGUUUUUGUGCAGUAAAAAUGUUUAGACAAUUUUACACCAGUUUGGGCUACUUCUUAUAAGGGGGUUUACACGUUUCAUACAAAACACAUUGCUAAACCGGUGAGUGGGCGAUGACCAGCUGCCAUCUAUUUUAUUGCUUCAUGGAUUCAAAAAGGCAAAAAAUUGCAAUUGAAUUACCAAAUAUAAAAUGCAUUGGUAUUCAGGCUUAUUUCGACAAACUUACAAUCACACACCUGCCAAUCUCAUUCUUCUGCCGUCUGAUCUAAGCUAAUACAAGCUGCCAUUCAUUUGCUUUCAAGGAAUCAAAAGGGCAGAAUGUCGUCGUGAUUUGGGACCAUGACGACUUCGUUACACGACAAAACGCAAACACACACUCAUUCAAAGCUGCUACAAGGUUGGUAUUUACGAUUAUGGAACCUUCAGGCUUAUU